CUGGCUUGUCUCUUUUUGUUGAUGACAAAGGGGGAGAAGUGAUGACUAAGUGAUGACUUACACCAUAACAAUAGCAUGACUUAUAUGAAUUACAAAAACUUGUGUGAUAUGAAUGUCUUAUAUGCCUUGCAAAAUCCUUGAAAAUAUCGCAAGAUUGAUUGAUCAUAUUGAAGACAUGCCUUACAUUUACAUUAUGAAAUUCAUGUUGAAAAUCUUUAUCUUCUAUCGUAGUAAAAAUUGUCUCUUAUCAUGAUUUUCAUCGAAGUUUUGUAUUUACUAUUGCUUAAUGAGAAUGACG
rnacentral:lncRNA from 1 species